AUGAUACUCUUAUAGUCACAUAAUGCCAAUACAUCUUUCUCCUAUAUAUAUCAAAACUUUCUUUUGUACAUAUGCAUACUUCCAUGCUACGCACGGUACUUGCAACUGAAAGAAAUGGCGAAGGCACAUGACAUUCUUAUAGCAGUAAGCAUGGUAGCUCUGCUCUCCUUCAAUGCUGUGGAGGGUGGAGCAUACAUGAGCCAUGCAGCACUUUCUCGCAAAGGUCUAAAAGAAGAACGCAAGCUAGCCACUAUUGGAGCGAGUCCAUUAUCUAGCAAUGUGUCAGGACUGGCAUCUAGCAACACUAAUGGUGCUAACAGCAACUCUGAAAGCACAAACAGUGAUAUGUCAGGUGCUGGUGCAGCUUAUACCCCGAUGACCGCCACUACUGCAGAUUCUCACCAUGAUAUUUCAGCGGAUCAGUACCGAAGAAUCAUCCACAACAAUCAGAUCAAACCGUGAUGAAGGACUCAUACAUCAGAGCAGGCUCCAGCAAGGAACUAGAGAAUUAUUUAUGAGUGACCCAACUAUCUGUAGUUUGCAACUAUAAUCGUAAGUUGAACUUGUGUGGAGGUGUGUAACCAAACUUGUACUACAAGCUGUCUACUGUAUGUGUGACAGUAUUUUCCUUGUACUAUACAUCCACCUCGAGCAUUGGAUUCUCAACGUUUUCCUAUGUUCAUGCAUGUAAUAUGUAUAUUGGACAAGAAUAAAUAAAGCAGGUGUCAAUGCUCUA